UAAAAUUUAAUACUUUGUUUUUAAAAAAAUAUUAAAGGCACUAACGUUUCAAGUUUCUAUUUGAGGGAGAGAAAAAAGGCACUAACGUGAAUUUGGAGGAAUCUGUAGUCACUGAAUCGUUGAAUCGGUGGUCCGAAUUCGAAUUCUCACCUUUACUACGUACUAUCUUGGUCUCUUUUUCUGAAUUCAAGUUUCGCAUUCAGGUUUCAAGAUUCUUUCUAUUUGUUUGGCGUUUGGAGGCAAUUCUUCUCUGUUUUGUUUCCGACGGUGACAUCAUGUUCUUGAAAUUCAACCAAGAACGUUCAACUCGGUAAAUCUUGAUUAUUCAAACCCUAGAAAUCUAAUUUGAAUUGGUGCAAAAAAAGAUUACCAAAAAGAGAUGGAUUCUGAAUUGGUGCUAGGGCUUCAUACUGGUUUGCAAAGUUUUUUUAUUGCUGUGCUUUGAAUCUGAAAUUGACUUUCCAUUUUUCUCUGUUCUCAAAGUCUUUUUUUUCUUCUUCUUUUAUUUCCUGCAAUUGGUUAUUUGAUAGCUUGCUUUAUGAUAUCUUAUUAAAUCUCGAACCUAUUUGGAAAAUGAAAAAUGAUGUUACAUGUUCAAUUCAGCUAAUCAAGGUAGAGUGCUUCAUUUGCAUGAUCCCUUGAUUUAUGGUUUAGAAUAUAGCUAUUUUUAUACACUUUACACCAGCAACAAAUAUCAAGUUGAUUUCAUGUGAAUGUAUUUUGCAAGGGGUGGAAUUCUUAGAUGCAAGAUCAAGUAGAGCAUCAAGUUGUUUUACUAAUGAAAGAGUACAAAUUUGAUAGCUUUGUUGUUCUUAUGGGUAGCAUCUUUGUGAAAAUGGAAAAUGCUGCUUGAUGAGCUUGUGGGGCUGUUGGGGUGUUCCUAGUCAAGGUCUUGUGUGCAGGAGGGUCAUCAUGGGAAUUCAUGAUAAAUUGAAUAAAAUUUGGUUAAGUAUGUGACAUGUUAGUAGUUUUGGUGUUGCUGAUAAAAAAAAUAGGAUAGUAUGUUUGGCUGACCCUAGAUUUAGUUACGAGAUGGAUUUUUGAAGCACAAUGUAGCUUGUAAUAUUAAUUUUUUAUCCAUAUAAAAUUGGGAUAUGAUGCUCAGAUGAUCCUAAAUUUAGUCA